rnacentral:rRNA from 1 species
CCUACGGGAGACAGCAGUGGGGAAUAUUGCACAAUGGGGGAAACCCUGAUGCAGCGACGCCGCGUGAAGGAAGAAGUAUUUCGGUAUGUAAACUUCUAUCAGCAGGGAAGAAAAUGACGGUACCUGACUAAGAAGCCCCGGCUAACUACGUGCCAGCAGCCGCGGUAAUACGUAGGGGGCAAGCGGUAUCCGGAUUUACUGGGUGUAAAGGGAGCGUAGGCGGUUUAGCAAGUCAGAAGUGAAAGCCCGGGGCUCAACUCCGGGACUGCUUUUGAAACUGUUGAACUAGAGUGCAGGAGAGGUAAGUGGAAUUCCAAGUGUAGCGGUGAAAUGCGUAGAUAUUAGGAGGAACACCAGAGGCGAAGGCGGCUUACUGGACUGUAAAUGACGCUGAGGCUCGAAAGCGUGGGGAGCAAACAGGAUUAGAUACCCGUGUAGUC